UUAAAAGUUUUAAUAGUUAAGUCUUAUCAAAGAGGUGAAACAUUAUAAUUAUUAUUAGGCCGCGUCACGUAUUAUCGAUAUUAUAUAAUAUUAAACAAUUAUUAUAGUCGACAGUAUCGAAUCGACAAUUCAUAUUAUCAUAUUAUCAUAUCGUAUCAUAUUAUUAAGAGCGGAAAAAUUGUAAAACCUAUCAAGCCGCGAAAUAUUUGUUCACGCCACGAAUAUUAUACGUGACGGUAUAGAAUCAACAAUUUGCGAUUGAUUUCAUAUGUUCUCCG